UAUUGCUCUUCAACGAGGAAUCCCUAGUAAGCGCGAGUCAUUAGCUCGCGUUGAUUACGUCCCUGCCCUUUGUACACACCGCCCGUCGCUACUACCGAUUGAAUGGCUUAGUGAGACUUUCGGAUGUGUUUGGAGCCGCUGGCAACAGUGACACCUUGCGCAGAAGUUAUUCAAACUUGGUCAUUUAGAGGAAGUAAAAGUCGUAACAAGGUUUCCGUAGGUGAACCUGCGGAAGGAUCAUU
rnacentral:rRNA from 1 species